rnacentral:rRNA from 1 species
AUUGAACGCUGGCGGCAGGCUUAACACAUGCAAGUCGAGCGGUAACAGAGAGAAGCUUGCUUCUCUGCUGACGAGCGGCGGACGGGUGAGUAAUGCCUAGGAAUCUGCCUAGUAGUGGGGGAUAACUUGCCGAAAGGUAAGCUAAUACCGCAUACGUCCUACGGGAGAAAGGAGGGGACCUUCGGACCUUUCGCUAUUAGAUGAGCCUAGGUCGGAUUAGUUAGUUGGUGAGGUAAUGGCUCACCAAGACCGCGAUCCGUAACUGGUCUGAGAGGAUGAUCAGUCACACUGGAACUGAGACACAGUCCAGACUCCUACGGGAGGCAGCAGUGGGGAAUAUUGGGCAAUGGGGGGAACCCUGAUCCAGCCAUGCCGCGUGUGUGAAGAAGGUCUUAGGAUUGUAAAGCACUUUAAGUUGGGAGGAAGAGCAGUUAACUAAUAUUUGACUGUUUUGACGUUACCGACAGAAUAAGCACCGGCUAACUUCGUGCCAGCCGCCGCCGUAA